GCAUGCGCUGUACAUCUUUGUGCGUAAGCGCGCCAAAACAACACGAGAGCACUUGCAUUGCACUGCGUCUUCAUACCGUAGACUUAUUUUGUAAAGAUGCCGUCAAAUGUGGAAAUAAAAGCCGUUUUGCGUGAUAUGCGUUACCUCACGCAGCGUGCAAAGGAGCUGAGCGGUUCCGACGGGACGGUGAUCCGUCAGCAGGACACGUUUUUCAGAGUCCCCGCGGGACGCCUGAAGCUCAGAGACUUCCAGGACGGGGCAGGACAGCUGAUCUUUUAUGAGAGGCCAGAUACCGAAGGACCCAAGUUGUCAAACUACUCCAUAACCCCCACAAACGACCCACAGGGGCUGGUCAAAGUUCUGACGGACGCGCUGGGGCAGGUCGGCCAGGUGAAGAAAGAGAGGAGGCUGUAUAUGGUGGGACAGACCAGGGUCCAUGUGGACUCUGUGGAGGGUCUGGGGGACUUCAUGGAGCUGGAGGUGGUGAUGAAAGAAGACCAGAGCAGAGAAGAAGGAGUGAGCAUCGCCAAUCAGCUGAUGCUGGACCUGGGGGUGAAGGAGGAGGAUCUGAUAGAUGGAGCCUACAUGGACCUCCUGCUGAAGAACCAGCAAAAUGGACAUUAACCAUAGUAGACCAUCACCUCAUGCUGUUUACUGUGUUGCACUUAGAGCUGAUUGUCAAUCCUGCACUUGUUAGCUCGCUAUAGGACCAGAUAAAAUCCUGACUUAAGUACAAUACAUGUUUCUGAAUUGUUUUUACCUUAAUCAUAGCUGCUCCUUUUGUACUACAAGACAAAACUAAUCAGUCUGUUGAGAUCAUAAAGAGUGAAACAAUCAACAGAAUAAACAAUGUCGCAUA